GGAUAGCUCAGUUAGUAGAAGAUGAGACUCUUAAUCUCAGGGUUGUGGGUUUGAGCCCCAUGUUGAGCA